rnacentral:rRNA from 1 species
AUACAGAGGGUGCGAGCGUUAAUCGGAAUUACUGGGCGUAAAGCGCGCGUAGGCGGCUUGGUCAGUCGGAUGUGAAAGCCCAGGGCUCAACCUGGGAAUGGCAUUCGAUACUGCAUAACUAGAGUAUGGUAGAGGGAAGUGGAAUUUCCGGUGUAGCGGUGAAAUGCGUAGAUAUCGGAAGGAACACCAGUGGCGAAGGCGACUUCCUGGGCCAAUACUGACGCUGAGGUGCGAAAGCGUGGGGAGCAAACAGGAUUAGAUACCCCGGUAGUCC